rnacentral:rRNA from 1 species
UACGAAGGGUGCAAGCGUUAAUCGGAAUUACUGGGCGUAAAGCGUGCGUAGGCGGUUGGCUAAGUCAGAUGUGAAAGCCCUGGGCUCAACCUCGGAAUGGCAUUUGAAACUGGCGAGCUAGAGUGUGAUAGAGGAUGGCGGAAUUCCCGGUGUAGCGGUGAAAUGCGUAGAGAUCGGGAGGAACAUCCGUGGCGAAGGCGGCCAUCUGGAUCAACACUGACGCUGAGGCACGAAAGCGUGGGGAGCAAACAGGAUUAGAUACCCUGGUAGUCCACGCCCUAAACGAUGCGAACUGGAUGUUGGUCUCAACUCGGAGAUCAGUGUCGAAGCUAACGCGUUAAGUUCGCCGCCUGGGGAGUACGGUCGCAAGACUGAA